rnacentral:rRNA from 1 species
GCCAGCAGCCGCGGUAAUUCCAGCUCCAAUAGCGUAUACUAAAGUUGUUGCGGUUAAAAAGCUCGUAGUUGGAUCUUGGAAUGUGUUCAAGCGGGUCAGCUUCUGGCUGUGCGCUGCUUGACGUGUUCUUCUAUUUGGUUUUGGUGCGGUGCGCUUAACUGCGUGUCGCUCCCGGCCGAAACGUUUACCUUGAAAAAAUUAGAGUGUUCAAAGCAGACCUGUUUGAGUCUGAAUAUUCGUGCAUGGAAUAAUGAAAUAUGAAUUCGGUUCUAUUUUGUUGGUUUUCGGAACUCGAGUUAAUGAUCAAGAGGGACAGACGGGGGCAUUCGUACUCUGCCGUUAGAGGUGAAAUUCUUGGAUCGGCGGAAGACGCGCAACUGCGAAAGCAUUUGCCAAGAAUGUUUUCUUUAAUCAAGAACGAUAGUCGGAGGUUCGAAGACGAUCAGAUACCGUCCUAGUUUCGACUGUAAACUAUGCCAGCUAACGAUCAGACAGAGUUCUCUACGACUUGUCUGGCAGUUUCCGGGAAACCAAAGCGUUUGGGUUCCGGGGGAAGUAUGGUUGCAAAGCUGAAACUUAAAGGAAUUGACGGAAGGGCACCACCAGGAGUGGAGCCUGCGGCUUAAUUUGACUCAACACGGGGAAACUCACCCGGCCCGGACACAGUGAGGAUUGACAGAUUGAGAGUUCUUUCUUGAUUCUGUGGGUGGUGGUGCAUGGCCGUUCUUAGUUGGUGGAGCGAUUUGUCUGGUUAAUUCCGAUAACGAACGAGACUCUGGCAUGUUAAAUAGUCGCGGAAGUGCGUAUGCACUUGCCGAAUUGACUUCUUAGAGGGACUAGUGAUUUUAAUUCACACGAGAUUGAGCAAUAACAGGUC